UACGUAGGUGACAAGCGUUGUCCGGAUUUACUGGGCGUAAAGAGCGCGCAGGCGGUCGAUCAAGUCGAGUGUGAAAGCCCCCGGCUCAACUGGGGAGGGUCAUUCGAUACUGAUCGACUCGAAGGCAGGAGAGGGUAGUGGAAUUCCCGGUGUAGUGGUGAAAUGCGUAGAUAUCGGGAAGAACACCCGUGGCGAAGGCGGUUCUCUGGGACGGUACUGACGCUGAGACUCGAAAGCGUGGGGAGCAAACAGG
rnacentral:rRNA from 1 species